AACUAAAGCAUGGUGCUGAAGAUACCAAGAUGGACCCCCCCCUCCCAAGGACA
rnacentral:tRNA from 1 species